UUCUCGGAAAUAAAUAACUUACAGUUCGUAUGUAUUUAUAAAUCACUUAUCUAAAAAUAUCGGAGUUAAACAGAAUAAUUUAUCACAGUUUAUGAAUGAAUCAAACGUACUUGACAGUGGUAUGUCUCGAUUUCCUCAGAAAGUAGAAAAGUCGUCCAUUUUCCAUGCGUUGAAAUAUUGAAGCGGACGGUGUCACAUAAAUUAAAGGUGGUCGAUAAAUGCGGUGAUUUAAGAAAACGGUCCAGUUCAAUUUGUUCCGGAUAAAAAUGAAAACAUGUAAUAAACAUUAAAUGUGGAACAGAAUAUUGCAUAUCUG
rnacentral:lncRNA from 1 species